CUUCNCAAUGUGCGCAAGCACGACGAGGGAAUCCUAAGUGCCUAUGCUUUGCAUAGGCUGUUCUCCUGUCUAAAAAACAGGGGGAGUAAGGGCUGGGUAAGACGGGUGCCAGCCGCCGCGGUAAUACCCGCAGCCCAAGUGGUGGUCGUUAUUAUUGGGUUUAAAACGUCCGUAGCUGGUCUAGUAAAUUCCUGGGUAAAUCGAAUUGCUUAACAAUUCGAAUUCCGGGUAGACUGCUGGACUUGGGACCGGAAGAGGUCAGAAGUACUUCUGGGGUAGGGGUAAAAUCCUGUAAUCCUGGAGGGACUAUCAGUGGCGAAAGCGUCUGACUAGAACGGAUCCGACAGUAAGGGACGAAGCCCUGGGGCGCAAACGGGAUUAGAUACCCCGGUAGUCCAGGGUGUAAACGCUGUAGGCUUGGUGUUGGGGGUCCUACGAGGACAUCCAGUGCCGGAGAGAAAUUGUUAAGCCUACUACCUGGGGAGUACGGUCGGCAAGCACU
rnacentral:rRNA from 1 species